ensembl:rRNA 5S_rRNA 5S ribosomal RNA
GCUUACGGCCAUACCAGCCCAAGAACGCCGGUCUCGUCUGAUCUCGGAAGGAGCUAAGAAAGCUUGGGCCUGGUUAGUACUUGGAUGGGAGACCUCCUGGGAAUACCAGGUUCUGUAAGCU